rnacentral:rRNA from 1 species
AUUGAACGCUGGCGGCAGGCCUAACACAUGCAAGUCGAGCGGGGUUUUCGGACCUAGCGGCGGACGGGUGAGUAAUGCGUAGGAAGCUGCCCGAUAGAGGGGGAUACCAGUUGGAAACGACUGUUAAUACCGCAUAAUGUCUACGGACCAAAGUGUGGGACCUUCGGGCCACAUGCUAUCGGAUGCGCCUACGUGGGAUUAGCUAGUUGGUGAGGUAAUGGCUCACCAAGGCGACGAUCUCUAGCUGGUUUGAGAGGAUGAUCAGCCACACUGGAACUGAGACACGGUCCAGACUCCUACGGGAGGCAGCAGUGGGGAAUAUUGGACAAUGGGCGCAAGCCUGAUCCAGCCAUGCCGCGUGUGUGAAGAAGGCCUUCGGGUUGUAAAGCACUUUCAGCGAGGAGGAAGGGGUGUGUGUUAAUAGUACACACCUUUGACGUUACUCGCAGAAGAAGCACCGGCUAACUCUGUGUCAGCCGCCGCCGUAAGAC